AUCCCACUUUUAUAUAAUCAAAAUGCUGCAGAUAACACAAGAUGUACAUAAAAAAAAAAAAACAAGCUUCAUGACGCUCAUGUCAUACGCUGCAGUACCUACGCUGACAUCCCUGAAUAGUAUAUAAUAGGAGAUUACCUAGCAUUAGCAUCAUCAGUCGUCAAUACUCUUACCUGUUCGGUACCUGAUAUUAUUUUUGAUUUUUUCAAAGUUCAAACUCAACUUUUUUUCGAAAUCAUGAAGCCGAUUGUUGCUGUAUUUUUCGCUCUGAUGGCUCUCUGCGUCGCUGUCAAUUUCGUCGAAUCUACAAUUUGCGCAAAGGAUCUUCGUUCUGGUGGUCCCCAAAAUUUUAACGACAUCAACGCGAUGUAUGCUGAAAACAGUCGUGGAGGAGCAUAUGUUUACCAGCACGAUGGACCUUGCUAAACAUGGUUGAAAAACACUCCGUUGCGUACCAUUAUUCAUCAGCAAGUAAAAUAAUUAAAAUGAAACAGAUUACCUGAAAAAUUAAACUUCAAAUCAGCUAUAGAAAUUUUGUACAAUGUAAAAUUAAAAUAAAAUAAUAAACUCAAUUUUUCAAUUAA